rnacentral:lncRNA from 1 species
CUCAGCCCACCGGCGGCGGCGGGCCCGCUCUAGAAAGGGAAACUGAGGCUCUGAGGAGCCGCCCCGCGCGGGCCCGCGGCAAGUUGGGGGUUGCCGGCGUAGCUGUGGUUACCGUGACUUGGGUGUGGCUCUUGGGCGGAAAGCCCCCGGGCCCAAGGCUGGGACGGAGAGGGGCAGCAGGGGCAGUGAAAGAGCUGCUGGGGAUUGGGGUCUGCCCCUGCCUGCUGUGUGACCUCAGGCAAAUCGCCUCCCCUCUCUGCGCUUGCCUUUAGCGCCCGCGAGUCUUGUCUUCCACGCUGAAAAAGGCGCUUUAAGUCUCCUUCUUAGUCGGGAGGGCCUUCAGUUCCGUCCUUGGAAAAUCAGGGAUAAUUCCUGUCCCCGAAGGUCGUGGUGAGACAAAAUAGGAUACAAAAAUUAGACAGGGUUUCACUCUGUUGCCCAUGCUGGAAUGCAGUGGUGUAAUAAUGGCUCACUGCAGCCUUGACCUCCUGGACUCAAGAGAUCCACCCACCUCAGCCUCCUGAGUAGCUGGGACUACAGGUGUGCACAACCACGCCCAGCUAAUUUCUAUAUUUCUUGUAGGGACAGGGUUUCGUCAUGUUGCCCAAGCUGGUCUCAAACUCCUGGGCUCAAGUGAUCUGCCCACCUCAGCCUCCCAAAGUGCUGGGAUUACAGGUGUGAGCCACCAUGUCUGGCCAAUUUUAAUUUAUA